GUGCUGGCUUCCGCUGCACAGACGCUGACAUCAGAACAAUACAGGGAAGAUCAGCACGGCCCCGGCACAAGGAUAACACGCAGAUUCAUAAAGAGUUCCGUAUUCCU
rnacentral:snRNA from 1 species